AUUGAACGCUAGCGGGAUGCUUUACACAUGCAAGUCGAACGAGUGGCGGACGGGUGAGUAAUAUAUCGGAACGUGCCCAGUAGAGGGGGAUAACUACUCGAAAGUGUGGCUAAUACCGCCUACUAUUGGAGCGGCCGAUAUCGGAUUAGCUAGUGGGUGGGGUAAAGGCUCACCAAGGCAACGAUCCGUAGCUGGUUUGAGAGGACGACCAGCCACCCUGGGACUGAGACACGGCCCAGACUCCUACGGGAGGCAGCAGUGGGGAAUUUUGGACAAUGGGGGAAACCCUGAUCCAGCCAUCCCGCGUGUAUGAGAAGGCCUUCGGGUUGUAAAGUACUUUUGGCAGGGAAGCGGUAUCUGCAGAAUAAGCACCGGCUAACUACGUGCCAGCCGCCGCGGUAAUAC
rnacentral:rRNA from 1 species